CGCAGUUAAGCGUGCUUGGGCGA
rnacentral:siRNA from 1 species